AUCCUUUUGCAGUUCAUAACCAUGAUGAUUGGGUUUUCACAUGCACGUGUGAGGUGUGGCUCUCUCAAACCUUGUUACAACAUCGGCAUAUUACCUUUCUUUUU